rnacentral:rRNA from 1 species
GGACUACUGGGGUAUCUAAUCCUGUUUGAUCCCCACGCUUUCGUGCCUCAGCGUCAAUAUAAGUUUAGCGAGCUGCCUUCGCAAUCGGUGUUCUGUGUCAUAUCUAAGCAUUUCACCGCUACAUGACACAUUCCGCCCACCUCAACUUAAUUCAAGACUAAUAGUAUCAAUGGCAAUUUCCGAGUUAAGCUCGGAGAUUUCACCACUGACUUAAAAGCCCGCCUACGCACCCUUUAAACCCAGUAAAUCCGGAUAACGCUUGCACCCUCCGUAUUACCGCGGCUGCUGGCAC